CAGCCGUAAACGAUGCGCGUUAGGUGUAUCGACGACCACGAGUCGUCGAGGUGCCGAAGGGAAACCGUGAAACGUGCCGCCUGGGAAGUACGGUCGCAAGGCUGAAACUUAAAGGAAUUGGCGGGGGAGCACCACAACAGGUGGAGCCUGCGGUUUAAUUGGACUCAACGCCGGAAAUCUCACCGGAUAAGACAGCGGAAUGAUUGCCGGGCUGAAGACUCUGCAUGACUAGCUGAGAGGAGGUGCAUGGCGUCAGUGACU
rnacentral:rRNA from 1 species